CUAGUCUUAUCUUCUUGUUUAUAAAUAUGAGAAAAAUGAAGCAGAAUGUUGCCUUUCACUCACCUACCAAGGAGAGAUCUGAAUGAGGUUUAACUGACUUCUAAGGUAAUGGUGGUUCUACAAUCACAUAAUUGUGGAGGCAAUUUUUACUUUCAGAGAGCUGACUGUCAAGUCUAUGGAGGGAGAGCUUUUGUUUUGAGUAAAGCUGAUGUUUCUGAGCCCACAAAUGUUUGAGAGCUUGUUAGGGAAAUCCUCUUCACCAUCAGGAGAGGCUGCAUAUCUGGAAAAGAGAAAGCAUGCUUUCUGAUUGAACCCUAUUUUAUUGCAACCAUCAGAGGUUUUCUUCUCUCUUCUCUGGGUUGGGCAAUCAGCUACAUCAGAGAGGUAAAUAUGAGCAAAAUGAGUGUAAUUUGCUGUCA
rnacentral:lncRNA from 1 species